rnacentral:rRNA from 1 species
UACGUAGGGGGCAAGCGUUGUCCGGAUUUAUUGGGCGUAAAGAGCGUGUAGGCGGCCAAGCAGGUCAGCUGUGAAAACUCGAGGCUCAACCUCGAGACGUCGGUUGAAACCGCUUGGCUAGAGUCCGGAAGAGGAGAGUGGAAUUCCCGGUGUAGCGGUGAAAUGCGCAGAUAUCGGGAAGAACACCCGUGGCGAAGGCAGCCCCCUGGGAUAACACUGACGCUCAUGCACGAAAGCGUGGGGAGCAAACAGG